UACGUAGGUGGCAAGCGUUGUCCGGAUUUACUGGGCGUAAAGAGCGCGCAGGCGGUCGUUCAAGUCGAGUGUGAAAGCCCCCGGCUCAACUGGGGAGGGUCACUCGAUACUGAUCGACUUGAAGGCAGGAGAGGGAAGCGGAAUUCCCGGUGUAGUGGUGAAAUGCGUAGAUAUCGGGAGGAACACCAGUGGCGAAGGCGGCUUCCUGGCCUGUUCUUGACGCUGAGGCGCGGAAAAGCUAGGGGAGCAAACGGGG
rnacentral:rRNA from 1 species